CCUUCGGGGUACUCGAGCGGCGAACGGGUGAGUAACACGUGAGUAACCUGCCCUAGGCUUUGGGAUAACCCCGGGAAACCGGGGCUAAUACCGGAUAUGACUGGCUGCCGCAUGGUGGUUGGUGGAAAGAUUUUUCGGCUUGGGAUGGACUCGCGGCCUAUCAGCUUGUUGGUGGGGUAAUGGCCUACCAAGGCGGCGACGGGUAGCCGGCCUGAGAGGGCGACCGGCCACACUGGGACUGAGACACGGCCCAGACUCCUACGGGAGGCAGCAGUGGGGAAUCUUGCACAAUGGGCGGAAGCCUGAUGCAGCGACGCCGCGUGAGGGAUGACGGCCUUCGGGUUGUAAACCUCUUUCAGCAGGGACGAAGCGUUUGUGACGGUACCUGCAGAAGAAGCGCCGGCCAACUACGUGCCAGCAGCCGCGGUAAGACGUAGGGCGCGAGCGUUGUCCGGAUUUAUUGGGCGUAAAGAGCUCGUAGGCGGCUUGUCGCGUCGACUGUGAAAACCCGUGGCUCAACUGCGGGCUUGCAGUCGAUACGGGCAGGCUAGAGUUCGGUAGGGGAGACUGGAAUUCCUGGUGUAGCGGUGAAAUGCGCAGAUAUCAGGAGGAACACCGGUGGCGAAGGCGGGUCUCUGGGCCGAUACUGACGCUGAGGAGCGAAAGCGUGGGGAGCG
rnacentral:rRNA from 1 species